AUAGAACAAAAGGCUGAAUGAAUACAGACAAAUUCUCUUUCUCUGGCUGCCAGUCUCUGAGCUGGGACAUCAGUGUUCUUCCGCCUUCAGACGCAGACUCAGACGAGACCUACCCCAGCGUGCUCCUGCAUCUCCAGCUUGCUGACUGCACCUCGUGGGCCUUCUCAGCCUCCAUAAUUACAUCCUGGUGAUGCCAUUCACCUCCCAACAGCCUCACUCAACAUUUAUAAAGGCAAAAUGAAAGUCGAUCAUGUCACAAUUCUAUCUUGAAUUGAUAUUAUGCCAGUUCACACUGUAAGGAAUUGGCAACAGAAAAGG